GACGAACGCUGGCGGCGUGCUUAAUACAUGCAAGUCGAACGGACAGGCCCUGCUUUUGCUUGGUUCUCGAUUGGCGAACAGGUGAGUAACACGUGAGUAACCUUCCCUUAACUGUCUGGUAACGUCAGGAAACUGGGGCUAAUACCGGAUAGGAGCUCCUGCUGCAUAUUGUUGGAUGGAAAGUUUCGGCGGUUGGGGAUGGACUCGCGGCUUAUCAGCUUGUUGGUGUGGUAGUUGCUUACCAAGGCUUUGACGGGUAGCCGGCCUGAGAGGGUGACCGGGCACAUUGGGCCUGAGGUACGGCCAAGACUGCUACUGGAGGCAGCAGUGGAGAAUAUUGCGCACUGGGCGGAAGCCUGAUGCAGAAACGCCGCGUGCGGGAUGACGGCUUUCGGGUUGUAACCCGCUUUGGACUGUAACGAACACUGAGUGACGGUAAUGUGUCAGAAAGCAACGGCUAACUACGUG
rnacentral:rRNA from 1 species